CCUACGGGGGGCUGCAGUGAGGAAUAUUGCACAAUGGGCGAAAGCCUGAUGCAGCAACGCCGCGUGAGCGAUGAAGGCCUUCGGGUCGUAAAGCUCUGUCCUCAAGGAAGAUAAUGACGGUACGUGAGGAGGAAGCCGCGGCUAACUACGUGCCAGCAGCCGCGGUAAUACGUAGGGGGCUAGCGUUAUCCGGAAUUACUGGGCGUAAAGGGUGCGUAGGUGGUUUCUUCAGUCAGAGGUGAAAGGCGACGGCUCAACCGUAGUAAGCCUUUGAAACUGGGGACCUUGAGUGCAGGAGCGCAGAGUGGCAUUCCUAGUGUAGCGGUGAAAUGCGUCGAUAUUAGGAGGAACACCCGUUGCGACGGCGGCUCUCUGGACUGUAACUGACACUGCGGCACGAAAGCGUGGGGAGCAAACAGGAUUAGAUACCCCAGUAGUC
rnacentral:rRNA from 1 species